GACGAACGCUGGCGGCGUGCCUAAUACAUGCAAGUAGAACGCUGAAGGAGGAGCUUGCUCUUCUGGAUGAGUUGCGAACGGGUGAGUAACGCGUAGGUAACCUGCCUGGUAGCGGGGGAUAACUAUUGGAAACGAUAGCUAAUACCGCAUAACAGUAGAUGUUGCAUGACAUUUGCUUAAAAGGUGCAAUUGCAUCACUACCAGAUGGACCUGCGUUGUAUUAGCUAGUUGGUGGGGUAACGGCUCACCAAGGCGACGAUACAUAGCCGACCUGAGAGGGUGAUCGGCCACACUGGGACUGAGACACGGCCCAGACUCCUACGGGAGGCAGCAGGAGGGAAUCUUCGGCAAUGGACGGAAGUCUGACCGAGCAACGCCGCGGUAGUGAAGAAGGUUUUCGGAUCGUAAAGCUCUGUUGUAAGAGAAGAACGAGUGUGGGAGUGGAAAGUUCACACUGUGACGGUAUCUUACCAGAAAGGGACGGCUAACUACGUG
rnacentral:rRNA from 1 species